AUUGAACGCUGGCGGCAUGCUUUACACAUGCAAGUCGAACGGUAACAGGCCGCAAGGUGCUGACGAGUGGCGAACGGGUGAGUAAUGCAUCGGAACGUGCCCAGUCGUGGGGGAUAACGCAGCGAAAGCUGCGCUAAUACCGCAUACGAUCUAUGGAUGAAAGCGGGGGACCGUAAGGCCUCGCGCGAUUGGAGCGGCCGAUGUCAGAUUAGGUAGUUGGUGGGGUAAAGGCUCACCAAGCCAACGAUCUGUAGCUGGUCUGAGAGGACGACCAGCCACACUGGGACUGAGAAACGGCCCAGACUCCUACGGGAGGCAGCAGUGGGGAAUUUUGGACAAUGGGCGCAAGCCUGAUCCAGCAAUGCCGCGUGCAGGAAGAAGGCCUUCGGGUUGUAAACUGCUUUUGUACGGAGCGAAAAGGCUCCCUCUAAUACAGGGGGCUCAUGACGGUACCGUAAGAAUAAGCACCGGCUAACUACGUGCCAGCAGCCGCCGUAACAC
rnacentral:rRNA from 1 species